CAAGAAAAUAAUACAUAUAGAUCAUACACUAUGACCAAAUGAGAUUCAUCCCAAGUUCACAAGGAUAGUUCAACAUAGGCAAAUGAAUUAAUGUGAUAAACCACCUCAACAAAAGAAAAGACAAAAACCACAUGAUCCUCUCAA